rnacentral:lncRNA from 1 species
AGAGUGUUUCUGAGCAAGGCCAAGAUACUAUGAAAGUGGAUUUUGACCAGACUCUCUUUUGGCCUCCUAAGGACCACAUAGCUAAAAUUGUUCUCAAUCUGUGAAGUACCUGCUGGUUAGCACAAACCAGGAAGAUCAGGGCCCCAGCUUUGUGGGCGGGACAGGCACAGUGUUAAUGAUUUCAAUGCAGCUCCAGCAGACCUCUUGGACAACUCUGCAGUUUUUUUCCGAUCAAACCUACUUUCCUUAAGAAGGCAUUACCUGAGGACCAAAAGUAGACCUUUAGGUUUCUUUGCAAACCUCCAGAGCUCAGAUGGGCACCAAGAAAAGGCAGCUGAUUUUGACAUUUCAGAGGAGAUGAAGGGGAAAAUGUACCUCAUCCCUGGCCAGCACAUGCCAUGCAGUUCAGAGGGAUGAAGAGGCCCAGAAUGGAACCAAAGACUCCCAACCUUGCACUCUCCUUACAUCUGACCAUCAAACCUGCCUGAAGCUCCUUCACCAGCUCAUUGCCCAGCUCUCCAGCGCACCUGGUAAAACCCCAGUGGAUUGUACAGGCAAGAUACCUGAUGUCUUCCCCCACCUUCAUCUAAACCAUCGCUGGCUGUGCCAGGGACAGCAUAGUCCUCGUACUCCUCAUCUGCAAAACUGCAGUGAUAAUAAAUGCCUACUUUUCAGGUUGUUGUGAAGUUUAAAAGAGGAAACACAAUUAAAGCAGAGUCAGCCGUUGUGAGUGGGCUCCGCUGGGAACUAGGUGGGCUGCCUUCCACAGAGGCAGUAAGUCUCAGGAAUGCUCCCCCUGCUGGGCCAUAGCUCUAAACAAGUCAUUUAGCUCCCUGAGCCUCCAUUUCCUCCUCUGGACAACACCCACUCCAUUAUCCAGACCUCUGAAAUCUUCUGAAAACUUCAAGUAGGUUGGUAGAAAUAAAAGCAGUUUCAAAACUCUGCAUGACUGCACAACUCUUAAUUCUAAAGUGAUUCCCUUCCACCAUUAUCCGGAAUGCAGGCAGG